AUAGAGGGACUCUGUAAUUGAAUGGG
rnacentral:piRNA from 1 species